rnacentral:rRNA from 1 species
GCAGUCGCCACGGUAAUACGGAGGGUGCAAGCGUUAAUCGGAAUUACUGGGCGUAAAGCGCACGCAGGCGGUCUGACAAGUCAGAUGUGAAAUCCCCGGGCUUAACCUGGGAACUGCAUUUGAAACUGUCAGGCUGGAGUCUUGUAGAGGGGGGUGGAAUUCCAGGUGUAGCGGUGAAAUGCGUAGAGAUCUGGAGGAAUACCGGUGGCGAAGGCGGCCCCCUGGACAAAGACUGACGCUCAGGUGCGAAAGCGUGGGGAGCAAACAGGAUUAGAUACCCGAGUAGUCCCUGUCUCUUAUAC